UACGAAGGGGGCUAGCGUUGUUCGGAUUUACUGGGCGUAAAGCGCACGUAGGCGGAUUGGUCAGUUAGGGGUGAAAUCCUGGAGCUCAACUCCAGAACUGCCUUUAAUACUGCCAGUCUCGAGUCCGGAAGAGGUAAGUGGAACUCCUAGUGUAGAGGUGGAAUUCGUAGAUAUUAGGAAGAACACCAGUGGCGAAGGCGGCUUACUGGUCCGGUACUGACGCUGAGGUGCGAAAGCGUGGGUAGCAAACAGG
rnacentral:rRNA from 1 species